AGAGAAUUCUGGGAAAUCUGGGAAUUCUAGAAGCUCAGAGAAUAAGGAUUGCUAAAAGCAUUUGGUUGAGAAAUGUAAAAGGAGGUUAUAUAAUGGGCAGUUAGUUAAUGUUGGAAAUCGUGGGUUAGUGCAAAGGUUUAUUCGAAAACAACUGUUUAAAUGGUGCAAGUCCUUAGUAAAAGCAUGCGGCUAGUGUUUAAUCAUUAUUAAUAUCUCGAUUAGCUGACUGAACAAUGAUUAAAGAGGGCACUGUUUGGGUUAUUAUUUAACAUUGGGCUUAAUGAUAAUGAGGCCCAAGGGUGUCACAGCAAAAUGGGGACUUGCUCGAAGCCUAGCCAAGAGGCCUGAAGCAAAUUGAAGCCAUUUUAGCUAAAGCAUAGGCCACGUGCUUAUAAUUGAAGUGAUAGUUGAUAGAGACCAACUCACCACCAGCCUAAAAAGCACUUUCUAAUGACAUGAAGGUGUAAAUACAAAAUGACUCACCGCCUCUGAAAGCCAUCGGCCAAGAACAAAGCCAAAGUAGUUGGGCGAAAUUGUCUGUAAAAGGAGAAAUAGACAUCAGAGACAAGGAUACUCAAUCAACCAAUCAAAAGACAUACAAACUCUGCUCUCAAGCCAGUUCGUACCCAGAAAGCUAAAACUUGACAGAUUUAGUCCUUUUAGCUAUAGUUCCUUUAGAAAAGCUGUCUUUUGUCUAGUGUAAAAGCUCUGCUACCUUCCCUUAAGUGUUGUAGUAUCGAUUCCUUCGUGUAAAACCCAUUUACCAUCCAUCCCUUUUAGCUUACAAACUCUAUAAACUCAAAGAUAAGUGGCUACAAGAAGUUUGACCUUGCCCGACAAGGUGAAAUCUUACCCGAGUCUCUUUGUUUGUACUUUUAUUUAGUAGAUAUGUCGCUUAAUGUACUUUUCAGCAUGUAUUCAAAUUAUUUCCAACUAUUUCUACCUAAGAGUGCUAUUUGCAUUCGAAUCUGGUUAACUUAAUAAACCUGUUUUUAUUAAGAACAAACUGUGUUCAAGGAAAUGGUUAAGAGGGCCCUCAACUCCCUUCAUUUUGGACAUACAAGAUUAUGAACUAAAAGUCCUUAUUUACAAGGCAAGAAAAAGAACCUAAUACAGACUUAACUCAUCUGUGACAAUCCUUUAAUAACAAGAAGUUUAAGUAACUUGGGACGCAAGUAAUCAACUUAAAUCACACCUAUUCAACAUCUGUUAUACUGAAAUAACAGUGGCACGCCUAGAUCCUUGUUAGCUUUGAUUGCGAGCCUCAAGGCCUACACCAAAGGCCCUACAAAGGCACAUUUCAAACUAACUAUGAACUCUUCUUGCAGCACACCAAGCAGCAAGUGCAAGCCCAACUACACACCAAGUGCCAAACCCCUGGGGAUCUGUGCGAGGGAAAUCCUUGCCCGAACAGAACCUUAUUUACCUUGUUGGCUACUCUGCUUGUAAAUGGAGUAUACGAGUCUCUGGCGAUAAAUGGGGACGUCCAUCACUCAGUUCAUUGGCUAAAUCGGGGGAAGAAGAAAGCUGUGUGCCGUAAAUAGGGCCGUCGAUCACUCAGUUCACUCACUAAAUCGGGGAAGAAGAAAGCUGUGUGCCCUAUCUUUUCCUACCAAUUUACUGUCGGUCCCAUGCACCCUAAGCUGGGGGUACGUACUUUUACCUAGCUGCCCUAAUUACGUAGAAGUUACAUGCAUUGUGUUUGCAGUGAGCUAUGUUUUAAAUUUCACCACUCUCUUUAUACUAAACGAAAGAUCUUCAACUUUAAUUUCUUUUGGGUGAUUGGGUCCCUUGAGAAAAAAUCCAAUCCCACCAUAACUGUUCUCUUAUGUUCAUCCACGAUGAAAAGCUGAAGUGGCUAGGACUCAAAUUAUUGCUUGGAGUUAUAAAGUUGAAGUGACUAGGGCUCAAAUUAUUGCGUGGAGUUAUAAUAUGGUUGAGAACAUAUGACAAAUAUGAACGAACAUAGCAGUACUCAAACAUAAUUAUAUGCUUAAAGUUAAAGAUCUUCCGGCCAUGGUUGCAUAAUUAUCUAUUGGGAUUAUGAUUAAACACUCCUUAUCCUCUCCACUUUGUUAGUUGUUAGAAUAUUACGACGAUCAACUCAUAAUACAAAUGUAUAGGAAACUAAUCAUCCAUAAAAUCAUCAUGAGAUCAUUAUCAAAUCGGUGUUUUAAAUUCUGAUGGACCUUUUUGUUAGGAAUGUCGGUACUACAAGAUAGAGAAUGCACAAAGUAAAGUAGAAAAUGGACACCAAAAAUUUAUGUG
rnacentral:lncRNA from 1 species